rnacentral:rRNA from 1 species
UGUCCAGACUCCUACGGGAGGCAGCAGUGGGGAAUAUUGCGCAAUGGGGGAAACCCUGACGCAGCAACGCCGCGUGAAGGAUGACGGCCUUCGGGUUGUAAACUUCUGUCGCAGAGGAAGAAGAAAGUGACGGUACUCUGUGAGAAAGCCACGGCUAACUACGUGCCAGCAGCCGCGGUAAUACGUAGGUGGCGAGCGUUGUCCGGAUUUACUGGGUGUAAAGGGCGCGUAGGCGGAUUUGCAAGUCAGAUGUGAAAUACCGGGGCUUAACUCCGGAACUGCAUUUGAAACUGUAGACCUUGAGUGCCGGAGAGGAAAGCGGAAUUCCUAGUGUAGCGGUGAAAUGCGUAGAUAUUAGGAGGAACACCAGUGGCGAAGGCGGCCUACUGGACGGUGACUGACGCUGAGGCUCGAAAGCGUGGGGAGCAAACAGGAUUAGAUACCCGCGUA